rnacentral:rRNA from 1 species
AGAACGAACGCUGGCGGCAGGCUUAACACAUGCAAGUCGAGCGCCCCGCAAGGGGAGCGGCAGACGGGUGAGUAACGCGUGGGAACGUACCCCCCGGUUCGGAAUAACUCAGGGAAACUUGAGCUAAUACCGGAUACGGCUGGAAGGCGAAAGAUUCAUCGCCGGGGGAUCGGCCCGCGUCCGAUUAGCUAGUUGGUGUGGUAACGGCGCACCAAGGCGACGAUCGGUAGCUGGUCUGAGAGGAUGAUCAGCCACAUUGGGACUGAGACACGGCCCAAACUCCUACGGGAGGCAGCAGUGGGGAAUAUUGCGCAAUGGGCGAAAGCCUGACGCAGCGACGCCGCGUGGGGGAUGAAGGCCUUCGGGUUGUAAACCCCUUUCAGCAGGGACGAAGCGAAAGUGACGGUACCUGCAGAAGAAGCGCCGGCUAACUACGUGCCAGCAGCCGC